rnacentral:rRNA from 1 species
GACGAACGCUGGCGGCGUGCUUAACACAUGCGAGUCGAACGGAAAGGCCCUGCUUUUGUGGGGUGCUCGAGUGGCGAACGGGUGAGUAACACGUGAGUAACCUGCCCUUGACUUUGGGAUAACUUCAGGAAACUGGGGCUAAUACCGGAUAGGAGCUCCUGCUGCAUGGUGGGGGUUGGAAAGUUUCGGCGGUUGGGGAUGGACUCGCGGCUUAUCAGCUUGUUGGUGGGGUAGUGGCUUACCAAGGCUUUGACGGGUAGCCGGCCUGAGAGGGUGACCGGCCACAUUGGGACUGAGAUACGGCCCAGACUCCUACGGGAGGCAGCAGUGGGGAAUAUUGCACAGUGGGCGGAAGCCUGAUGCAGCAGCGCCGCGUGCGGGAUGACGGCCUUCGGGUUGUAAACCGCUUUCGCCUGUGACGAAGCGUGAGUGACGGUAAUGGGUAAAGAAGCACCGGCUAACUACGUG